CAGCCAAGUCGUGAGGCGGAGCUAAUCCCUUUAAAAGCCAUUCUCAGUUCGGAUUGUAGGCUGAAACUCGCCUACAUGAAGCUGGAGUUACUAGUAAUCGCAGAUCAGAAUGCUGCGGUGAAUGCGUUUCCGGGUCUUGUACACACCGCCCGUCACACCACGGAAGUUGGGGGCGCCCGAAGCCACUUAGCUAACCCUUUUGGGAAGCGAGUGUCGAAGGUGAAAUCAAUAACUGGGGUGAAGUCGUAACAAGGUACC
rnacentral:rRNA from 1 species